CCUACGGGAGGCAGCAGUGAGGAAUAUUGGACAAUGGAUGGAAAUCUGAUCCAGCCAUGCCGCGUGCAGGAAGACUGCCCUAUGGGUUGUAAACUGCUUUUGUAUGGGAGCAAUAAGGUCUAUGCGUAGACUGAUGAGAGUACCAUACGAAUAAGCACCGGCUAACUACGUGCCAGC
rnacentral:rRNA from 1 species